rnacentral:rRNA from 1 species
UCCCAGACUCCUACGGGAGGCAGCAGUGGGGAUAUUGCACAAUGGGGGGAACCCUGGUGCAGCGACGCCGCGUGGGUGAAGAAGUAUUUCGGUAUGUAAAGCCCUAUCGGCAGGGAAGAAAUUGGACGGUACCUGACUAAGAAGCCCCGGCUAACUACGUGCCAGCAGCCGCGGUAAUACGUAGGGGGCGAGCGUUAUCCGGAUUCACUGGGUGUAAAGGGAGCGUAGACGGCCAUGCAAGCCAGGGGUGAAAGCCCGGGGCCCAACCCCGGGACUGCCCUUGGAACUGCAUGGCUGGAGUGCGGGAGGGGCAGGCGGAAUUCCUGGUGUAGCGGUGAAAUGCGUAGAUAUCAGGAGGAACACCGGCGGCGAAGGCGGCCUGCUGGACUGCGACUGACGUUGAGGCUCGAAAGCGUGGGGAGCGAACAGGAUUAGAUACCCCCGUA